ACUCUGGUUUUUAAGACACUUUAAAGAACAUUCUUAGAUCUGCUUUAAAAUAAAUAAAUGAAUAAAUAAAGCACCUAGUAGCAGAGAGUUAUUUCAACCCUGCACUGCUAAUAAAUGAGUAUUAACAUGGCCAAAAAUAGAAACUUGAACAUAAGCAGUUGGAUUAUUGUAUUCUGUAAUGGGAUAUAAGGUUGUGAGCUAUGUAGUUGGUAUUACAGAUUAUUCUAUUUGCUGUGGUGGGCUUGCUCAGGAACCCGUCCUUAAAGAAAGAAGAGACUCACCAUUUCCACCAGGCAUCUCUCCCUUUUAGGGGUUUAUAACUCAGUCUUACAUUCCUAGUGACAUUUAGGCUUUUCUUAGGUUAUGUUUCAUGAAAAGUUGUGGGUAGGGUCUCUUUCAACUUUAGGCCUCAAUUUUUUAACAAUCUCUUUAAUAAUCUGCACUAACAUCUCUGAUUUUAUCUACCUAUAAUUGAGAAAUAAUACUAUCUUCUACGUUACUUGUGUAAAAGGUGUGUCUGAUUGGACUUGUUUAGAAUUCCUUUUAAAACUAACUCAUUAGAUUGAAGGUAUAUUUUCUAAUUACAGUUCAGUUGGGUUAAUGGUGUCUCAAAUGAGCACACAGGCUUUAAGUGACCUUUGUUUUCACUUUUUUUUUUAGUGGUUUAUAACACUCUGGUCUUCCCUUCAAAUCGUGUAUGCAAACAGGAACACAUUUAAUGUGACUCAACUGGAAACCGGUGCUCAGCAGUUAGGUGUAACAAUGAUAUGAGGGUGUGCCCCUCAGUUCAUAAUGACUGGCCCUUGGCACCUCUAUGGCUUACUCUCCUUCCUCUUUUCCUCUGUCUUUUUCUUUCUGGUGUGCCUAUAGUGAAGUGGCAAUGUAUUCAACUGUCUUACUUUGCAGUGCUCAGGAAUGGGAUGCUCAUUUGAAGGUGCUUGUCUGUUACUGAUGCUCAGCUAGGUUUACCUCUUUAGUAGAUGCAGCAGUUGAGCUAACACUACAUUCUAGUUCUCUAGGCUCUGGUUAAAGCCUUUGUCUCCCCCUGUCAGAAAUGGUAGCCUCUGUGUUGCCCAGUGGUAAGUUACUGCUGCUUUUAACCGUCCACCACUGAUGGGGUUUUGGAGAGAGGACCCAAAGGGUGUAUUUACAUAUCUGCUGAAAAACUUAACUGCUUUCAGUACCUCCCUCUCCAUAUUAACCUUACAAAGGAAAACUAAUGGUAGCAUGAAUAUUUCUUUUUUUCUAGGGUAGCCAGAGAAUCUCCACAGACACCUUACCAAAACCCCAGUAUUUUGUGUACCCCAGGCUGGCCUCAAACUCCUGUUUUGUUUUGUUUUUUUCAAAACAACUGAUUUUUUUUUUCCUGUCUUCAAUGCUUAUAUAUGGUACUAGUUCAGAUAGCAUUUUCUUCCACAUAAAAAUCAGUGGAAUUUGAGGUUAUAAUCUAGAAGGACUUACAGUCAGCUGAUCUUGACCUUUUUUGAGCCUGGUUUCACUUUGUAGUGUGUCUGGGAGUUUUUUUCCCCCCACCCCUCACUCACACUGCUGGGAUUAAUGCCACCAUGUCAGGUGACACUUUUUAAAUGAGCUUUUAUUUUUAUGUCCAGGAACAUGUGGGUUAGAGAGGGAAAUAGUGUAAACAAAACUCAGGUUUAGGGGCCCCUGCCAGAGCAGACUUGAAGAAACAGAAAGCUUUGUUGCUGCUGUGAAUCCGUGCCUCUUUGGACAGUUCUCUCUACCAGUAGCACCAGAAGCUACACUAGAAACAUUCCCACCUGUGACUGGGUAGGAAGAAAUGCAGGCUAGGCACUUCAUGGUGUGCGGACGGAGGUCAGAAACUAGCAGUACUUGCUUCUUGCCAAAGGGGAGGGGAAGUUAAAGCCACUGGUUGCUCUUGAGGGUAGAAUAUUGUCAUUUUCUCUAUGGAGGAAGCUGCUGAGUUACUUGAAGAUGGGGAAGGUUUUUUUGUUUUGUUUUGUUUUUUUAGUUUUUCCUUUUGUUUUUUGAGUAUUGCGAUGUCAAGCUAUCAAUAGCCAUGUUACUAUUUGAACCUCCUUUUUUUUCCCCCUUUGUCUUAGAAAAGAGAAUACAUGAUUCUGAAUAUCAAAUCCAUAGGUUAUACUUUUGUUCAAAGCCUAAUUCACAGUGGUGUGAUUGUACUAACCACUAGGAGGAUCCCAUAUGCCUACCUGUUGCCAUGCCAAUGAAGAAUGAACUGGUGACAUCUGAGCAUGCUCUGUGGCUGUAGAGCAUCACAGUUGGGUGGACACUUUGUAUAUUGGGUGUGGGGGGUUUUCUAGAUCAUGGGGGAGGGUAAAAUGAUUUUGGGUGGGGUUUUUUGGUGGUUUUUUUUUUCCAGUUUUGGGGGUUUUUUGUUUUGUUUUUGCUUUUUAUGGAGGGUUGGGGAGUAUAGUACUCAGUUAUGCCCUAAAAAUAACAUGUAUAAAACCCUGAAGUGUGAUGUGGGUAUGUGUGAGUGCGUGUUUGUAAAUGUCUGGCAUUUAAACCUUUGUCUUCUGGAAGUUAGUGAAUUCUUUCCCUUUUCCUCUGGAAGUAUUUGUUACAAGAUUUGUAAAUAAGAGCUCUACAUAGUCUGUGUACCGUGAACAUAUUACAGCAAACCUUCCAUGCUUCAUUCCUCUGCAAGGCAUAAGACUGCCAGGUUGCUCAGCUCCCGUGAUCAGUUUGCCUUCAUUCAUCUUUUAGACUUAAUUUGACAGUUCUAAAAACUCCUAGUCUUCCUCAAUUUUAGUCUUUAAUCUUUCAUGUUCUGAGCAGAAAGGGUCAGAAAGUUAGCCUGUCUUCGGCCAUGGCUGAGAGCCUGGCAUCCUUUUCUUCAUACAGUAGUGUGGCUUGAUACAUGGCUAGACAACAGAGUGUUGGGCAUUCUUGCAAUACCUUAGCAGUGCUGAAAUUUGCAGCAUGGUACUAAGGAAGCUAAAGUUUGAAUGUAACCACUUUAUUUAAAGGGUUUUUUCUUUAAUUUAAAUGAUACCGAGUUGAAGUGAACAUGAUUUUGUUGACCAUGUUCAUGAAUUAUAGAUGCAACAUGCAUUGGUAGGCUCAUGUGAUGGUCUGAUGUGAUACUUCAUUUCAUCCAUUUACAUAAUCCUGGUCUGUACGCAUUUGCAUAAACAACAACAAACUCCUGCCUUGCUCUGAUUGAAGGAUUUCCAGGACUGCUGUCUGCUCCUGAACUUUGUUUUAAGUAUGCGUAUCCUUUGCUUGUAUUUUGUAUUAAGAAAUAAGGAAAAGAACCCCUUAUUGUUGAGCAUGUUGGUAUUGUCCCCUUUAUUUUUUUUCUCUUGGGGACAUUAUGAAGCAAGUUAUUCUUUUUCUGUAUCUUUUUCUUUUCUUUUGUAAACCUUUUGGUUUGUUUUGUUUAAAAAUGGCUUUAUAAAAGGGCUUUUGUAAC
rnacentral:lncRNA from 1 species